rnacentral:rRNA from 1 species
UACAGAGGGUGCAAGCGUUAAUCGGAAUUACUGGGCGUAAAGCGCGCGUAGGCGGCCUGGUCAGUCGGAUGUGAAAGCCCCGGGCUUAACCUGGGAAUUGCAUUCGAUACUGCCAGGCUAGAGUGUAGUAGAGGGAAGCGGAAUUCCAGGUGUAGCGGUGAAAUGCGUAGAUAUCUGGAGGAACAUCAGUGGCGAAGGCGGCUUCCUGGACUAACACUGACGCUGAGGUGCGAAAGCGUGGGUAGCAAACAGG